UGGAAAUGGGCGCAAGCCUGAUCCAGCAAUGCCGCGUGCAGGAUGAAGGCCUUCGGGUUGUAAACUGCUUUUGUACGGAACGAAACGGUCCCUUCUAAUACAGGGGGCUAAUGACGGUACCGUAAGAAUAAGCACCGGCUAACUACGUGCCAGCAGCCGCGGUAAUACGUAGGGUGCGAGCGUUAAUCGGAAUUACUGGGCGUAAAGCGUGCGCAGGCGGUUAUGUAAGACAGAUGUGAAAUCCCCGGGCUCAACCUGGGACCUGCAUUUGUGACUGCAUAGCUAGAGUACGGUAGAGGGGGAUGGAAUUCCGCGUGUAGCAGUGAAAUGCGUAGAUAUGCGGAGGAACACCGAUGGCGAAGGCAAUCCCCUGGACCUGUACUGACGCUCAUGCACGAAAGCGUGGGGAGCAAACAGGAUUAGAUACCCUGGUAGUCCACGCCCUAAACGAUGUCAACUGGUUGUUGGGUCUUCACUGACUCAGUAACGAAGCUAACGCGAGAAGUUGACCCGCCUGGGGAAGUACGGNCGCAAGGUUGAAACUCAAAGG
rnacentral:rRNA from 1 species